GCCAGAUGUGGUGGCGCGCACCUGUAGUCCCAGCUACUUGGACAGCUGAGGCAGGAGGAUCACUUGAACCCAGGAGGUUGAGGCUGCAGUGAGCAGAGGUGGUGCCACUGCACUCCAGCCUGGGUGACAAAGUGAGACCCUGUCUCAA
rnacentral:SRP_RNA from 1 species